ensembl:lncRNA novel transcript, antisense to PEX5L
AGGCUAAUACAGCUGCCAGAGAAGGGCUGAACACUCAAAAGGCUUUAGUCAUCAAAAUAUACAGUAGAACAGUAGAAAAUGACUGGAAUGGUUGUUGGUGGAAGAUGGUGCAGAGUCUAAGAGAAUUGACGUAUUAUCUUGGAUCCCAGUGGCAAGGGAACACUUCUGUCCUACAAUAAUCUCUCCCAUCCCCAACAGGAAAAAGCAGAGGAACAAAGAAAAACCACAAACGAACCCCGAAAUCUGAAUUGGGAUUAUUAUGGUGAUUUCGAUCUUGCAAUUGCAGCUAUUUCACCAAAGGCUUUUAUUUCAUCCUUGCACUGUACUUACCAUAAGAUGCUUGCUACAUGUAAACAUCAGUACCUAUUUCUGUUAUUGCAGAACCAUUUUAUUCAGCACUGACAUAGAGCAUAAACAUGAAUAAGGUAUAUUCUUUUCAAGCAAGAAAUGUGAGAGGUAAACACAAAUAGCAAUAACAUACUUGUAAAAGUGCUCUGAGAAAGAAACAGAUGAAGUGCUGUGGGGAUUACCGGCAGAAAGGGCUCUGUCUCAUUCCUUAGCAGAGCCUUAGAGAAAUGUUUUGCUGGAAGAUGGGUUGGCUCCGUAAACCCCUUGAGGACAGGAACCACACCUCAUUCAUCUUUGUAUCCCUUCCUGCUAACAUUUGAUGAAUGUUUAAAACACAUUUUUUAAAUAAUAUUGUAUACAAGGGAGUUGACUCUGGAGCCAAAUUUCUGGUUCAAAUCCCACCUCUGCUAAGUUAGCGAACGAGCUACCAAAUUUUAAUUAUAUUUUAUAGAAAACUUGUUUUCUCCAAAACGAGGUGUGUGUGUGUUUUAAUUCUAAUGUCAUGCUCUUAGUAUAACAGAAGAAAAAUGUUUCCUAUUGAGGACUCCAUUCAUGGUAGAAACAUCCAUAAUUGUCUUACAUGGUGAGAGAGUCUUUAAAAUUAUCAUCAUUGUAUAUUAUUAAAAACUAAAACAAAGCAGUAUCCCUGAUGUCUAAUUAUAGUGAAUUGUUCCUUAGUGUUUUCAUGGACUUCUGGGAAUUCACAAAAUAAACAAACUGAGAGGAUGGCCAUGGUUAUUCAUGAACUAGAAUUUCAGAGUUAGAGAGGGCCUCAGACCAUUCUAUAUAUUAAUCUCCUCACUAUUGGUGAGGAAGCCAAGCUAUAGAGAAGACUUAAGUCAGAAGAAUGAAGGGCAAUGAUAGAAGAGAUUUGAAACUAAUUUUCUUGACUUUUGUCUUGAUACAUAGGAGGUACUUCAUAGAAUAUAAUAAUAUAUAACAUAUAAUAUAUAAUAUUUAAUAUAUUAUAUAUAAUGUAUAAUAAAUAAACAAAAGUGUAAAAGUAGGAUGAAUAAUCAACACAUGAAAUUAUGAAAAGGCAUAAUGGGAUAUUUGGGUUUAAACUACAGAGACAGAGAAAUAAUGGCUGAUAGUGAUUUAGGUCACAACAAGUGAGCAUGACUGAUUUGGGGAAAAAACAUUCUUUUCCACAAAGAGAAGUAAGUGCUGUAACACCACCACCACCACCACCACCAACACUCAAUAUCUUAUCUUUCUGUUUUUAAUUCUAUCCUUAAUUUUAUUCUAAUGUGUUAAUCUUAUCUCCAGAAAAAUGUGGCUAGGUCAUACCAUGGGGAAGGAUGACUUUGAUCAAUGAUUAUAUCAUAAUACUUAAAGUUUUAUUAAAUCCUUACUGCUAUCUCUAAUGUUUAAGUUAGCCUCCUAUUAAUUGGAUGUCAGCUCAGUGCUAUGAAAUAUUUUUAUAUAUCUAUCUCUCUAUAUAUGUGAAUGUUUAAAAUCAUGCCCUUGUCUUUAAGAAAUUUCUAAUUUAAAAUAGAUGAGAUUCACAAGGUACUAACACAGUUCACCUAUCUCUGCAACUGACCUUUAAUUUGGUUGUUUAAUUUGUCCUUGAAUAUACCUGGUUCAAUUAUCACGCAGGAAUGAACAAUACAGAAAAUUCUUGCUGAUUUUUAUCACAAAAGAAGUAGACAUGUACCAGCAGUGCAGCUGGAGCCAGAGGGGCUCCAGAGGUGACAGUGCUCUCAAUAAAUGCCUGACCUUGACCUUCACCCAUGAAGUGAAUGAUGCUGAACUUCCAAGAACUCAGACAGGGUUGCAGAUGGAUUUUAUUACCUUUCUGAUGUAAAUCUAUACUUAGUUGUAAAGUGUUAUUCUUAAAUGUUCCUACUUAUUAAUUUAGCUGAUUUAUUUGCAUUUAUAUUUGAACAUUUCUUGCAAAUGUAAAUAGCUUUCCAUUUAUGCUCUUGAUCAUUUGCUUUGUCAAUAAACAUACUUAAUUCCACAGGAAUCCUAAAGAACAGAGCAUUAUAGAUUCAUGAAUCCAAGUAUUUAAUUUCAUAUUUUAUUGCUAACUUUUUAUGUAAAAAGAGUGAGUAAUGUUCAUUAACACAUCAUAUUUAUUUAUGAAGUUAUAUUUUCAUGAUGAAAUUUUAUACUAGCUUAACAUCUAUACAAGAUUUUCUCUAGUGGGUAA